CUUUUUUGGUUCAAAAACUAUGAAAAAAUAACAAGGAUUUUAUAAGAUUUUUAAAUAUGGCUUUUUGAACUUUAUGUAACAAAAUUAUGAAUAGAAAAGUAGGGAUUAAUGGUCAAAAUUUUGAAUGGCAAUACAUGGAUAAAACCAGAGGAUUCCGAAAAUCUGGCAAAAAUUCAAAAAGUAGAGGAGCAAACAUCCUAUCUUCCAAUCAGGUAGCAAGAAAAUUAC
rnacentral:lncRNA from 1 species